UACAUGGGGUGCAAACGUUGUUCGGAAUUACUGGGCGUAAAGCGCGUGUAGGCGGCCCUGCAAGUCGGGUGUGAAAUCCCACGGCUCAACCGUGGAAGUGCAUUCGAAACUGCAGGGCUAGAGUCCUGGAGAGGAAGGUGGAAUGCUUGGUGUAGAGGUGAAAUUCGUAGAUAUCAAGCGGAACACCGGUGGCGAAGGCGGCCUUCUGGACAGUGACUGACGCUGAGACGCGAAAGCGUGGGGAGCAAACAGG
rnacentral:rRNA from 1 species